UACGGAGGAUUCAAGCGUUAUCCGGAUUUAUUGGGUUUAAAGGGUGCGUAGGCGGUCUGAUAAGUUAGAGGUGAAAUCCCGGGGCUUAACUCCGGAAUUGCCUCUGAUACUGUUGGGCUAGAGAGUAGUUGCGGUAGGCGGAAUGUAUGGUGUAGCGGUGAAAUGCUUAGAGAUCAUACAGAACACCGAUUGCGAAGGCAGCUUACCAAACUAUAUCUGACGCUGAGGCGCGAAAGCGUGGGGAGCAAACAGG
rnacentral:rRNA from 1 species